rnacentral:lncRNA from 10 species
UGGCACUGGACCUUAAAAGAUGAGAAGAACUGGGCUUGAAGGAGGGAAUGGCUCUGGUUCAGGGCACAAGGAAUGGUAGAGCAAAGUGUCAUGGCUGCCAGCCCCUGGAGGCCUAAUCGAAAUUCGACGGGAGCCUGUCACCACUCAGCCACAUAGCAGAACAACAGCCACAGCCACUGCAUCAGCACAGCACUCAACAGUGUAAAAGACUUUUCUCCCAUUUUCCCACCACAGGCCCCUUCCAUCACUCACUGAUGGAGGGAAGGCAAGGACUCCAUUAUUCCUGCUUAGCAGAUGAGGAAACUGAAGCACUGCAAAGGUUGGAAGGGUCACUAAUGCCUCUCAGAAAAAUUCUCCUUGCUGAACAGGAGGUCAGGGUAGCCUCCAGCAACGCACUGGGCUAGGGUGAGACAAGCAAGGCACUGAGGGUGUAAAAUUUAAGGAUACAUUUACUUUCAGGGUCAUGCAAGUUCAAGAUUGCUGCCAGACAGUAAGCGCCUGCAGGUGGAGAGGCAGACCCCAGAGUGGCCCCAUGGGAACAUAGCUAUUACUAGAGUCCUAAGCAGGAGGAAGAACCCUAGCCCAGGGCUCCAAAGACGGCUUCCUGACUGACUUACUGGGUACCUUUGGGUCAAUACCUCCUCCCCUCAGGGCCUUGGGGUCCCCAAAAAUACACAGGGAUUUCACAUUCUCUGUCUUGUGAGGUAGUUUUGUUUCCAAGCUCUCCCUGUGACUCUGGUUCCCGGUACAGCCCCUAAGCCCAGAAGACAGCCAGUGCUAAGGAGCUGCUACUAUCAGCCCCUUAGAAAUCCACUCUGCAUGAGUCUGAGCAAGCUGUUGUGCAUAGGUUUGAUUUAAGGCCAUUUCAAUAAGCCCCAAUUCAUCAUCCUGAAGGCCUUUGAAGAAAAGACAACUGCCAUUUUCUAAAUGCCAUUAUGCAAUCAAGCCUUUUGCAGGCAGCCCGGCAGGUCCACAUGCCCGUACGCGUACCCAGACUAGUACAUCUCACGUCUUGCUGAGUGUGCCUGGGCUCCCUUAACCAUAGAGCCCCAAUGGUAUGGGGGCUGGCGAGGAUGAUGCAGGAAAGAGACCGGAAGCCCGAACAGUGACACGGACCACAGAACAGGCGUUCUGUGAAAAGUUGUAGAAAAUCCCAUAGCAAGGAGGCCCUACCUGACCCAGGAUCUUUCUCGUCUGUCAGGAGCUUGAGCCUGUUCCCUGAGCUCCCUUUCCCUGCAGGGCAGAGACCCAAGGCAGCCUUCUAAGAGGACCAUUGUCCCUGGAAUGCAGUGCUAAGAGCAGUGACUUAGCAGCCAGGUUUGAGUCUUGGCUUCAGUACCUCUUAGCUCUCUGACCCUGGGAAAGUGAGCAACAGCUCUGCGCCUCAGUUUUCUCAUCUUUAAACUGAAGGUAAUAACAGCAUAUCAACUUCCUAGAAUUUUGUGAAAAUCAAAUGCUGUGCUAUCUAUAAAACUCUGAGAAUGAGGCUUAACGUGUAGUAAGCUUUAUAUCAGUAUUAUGAUUCUUGUCAUUUUCACAGCACCACAAACAGGAGUGGCAACUGUGGGAGCUGGAAAGUAAGCUAGGGAUUCCCCUAGACCAUGGGGUAUGGGAGAAGCAGAGCAAGGUAUGGAAAAUGAAGGCCUGAUUUUAAAUCCUGCCUUCACUUUUCUAUAGCCAUGGGUUUUGGGGCAAGACUGGGUACUGGACCGAACCUCCUUCUCCAUCUCUAAAAGGGGUAGAGACUCCCCAGCUCAGGGGGUUCUUUGCAGAAGUUGAUGAAGAAACAUAUGGGACACUGCUUUAUACCAGGCAACACAAAAAACUACCCAGCAGGGUACAUGUGAGAACAAGGUCUCUUGUUUCCCAGGCUGUGCUCUUGGUAGGACACUAGCUUCUGCAGUGCUCACAGGUAUCUCCCUAAGAAAUAGCCUCUCUUCCAGCCAUAGGCUUUGCACUCAGAAAUGCUCCAUUUGCACAUUUUAAGGAGCAAUCAUCAGAGUCUCAUGUUCAGCCUGAGCUCUUUGAUAUAUCUGGCCAAAAGAAAGGUUCUUAGGCCCUUGCAGUUGUCUCACAGUGGGGACCA